GGCAGUACUGGAUCACAAAGGAAGCAAGGGAAGGAAUCAGCUGAAGAACUUCUUGCGCGGCUUACCCUACAGGAAGAGGAAGAGGAUGACUUUAUAUGGGAGGAAGAGCUUCCGGACUUGAUGAAGCCGGUGAAGUGGCUGGCAAUCGAGCGGGUUCAUACUCAAAAAACCUUCAGCCCCAAUGCUUUGUACGGCGACAUGCGGGCAGCUUGGAAUCCAGCAAAACUGGUGGUUUGGAGGAAGGUCGGGGACAACCUCUUCACGGCACAAUUUGGAUGUUUGGGGGAUUGGAACAAAGCAAUGAAGGAUGGCCCAUGGUUGUUCAGGGAUCAGGCUGUGAUAUUGGAAGAGUAUGAUGGGUUCAAGAAUCCUGAUACAUUUAAACUUGACAAGCUUAGCAUCUGGGCGCAAAUCCAUCAUUUGCCGAAUAAUUUUUUAAUUGAACCAAUGGUCAGAGGCCUGGCAUCACGGAUUAGAGAGGUGGAAGAGGUGUAG
rnacentral:rRNA from 1 species